rnacentral:rRNA from 1 species
UACAUGGGGUGCAAACGUUGCUCGGAAUUAUUGGGCGUAAAGAGCGUGUAGGCGGCCAUACAGGUCAGCUGUGAAAACUCGAGGCUCAACCUCGAGACGUCGGUUGAAACCGUAUGGCUAGAGUCCGGAAGAGGAGAGUGGAAUUCCCGGUGUAGCGGUGAAAUGCGCAGAUAUCGGGAAGAACACCCGUGGCGAAGGCGGCUCUCUGGGACGGUACUGACGCUGAGACGCGAAAGCGUGGGGAGCGAACAGG